rnacentral:rRNA from 1 species
GACGAACGCUGGCGGCGUGCUCAACACAUGCAAGUCGAACGGAAAGGCCCUGCUUUUGUGGGGUGCUCGAGUGGCGAACGGGUGAGUAACACGUGAGUAACCUGCCCUUGACUUUGGGAUAUCUUCCGGAAACUGGGGCUAAUACCGGAUAGGAGCUCCUGCUGCAUGGUGGGGGUUGGAAAGCUUCGGCGGUUGGGGAUGGACUCGCGGCUUAUCAGCUUGUUGGUGGGGUAGUGGCUUACCAAGGCUUUGACGGGUCGCCGGCCUGAGAGGGUGACCGGCCACAUUGGGACUGAGAUACGGCCCAGACUCCUACGGGAGGCAGCAGUGGGGAAUAUUGCACAAUGGGCGGAAGCCUGAUGCAGCAACGCCGCGUGCGGGAUGACGGCCUCCGGGUUGUAAACCGCUUUCGCCUGUGACGAAGCGUGAGUGACGGUAAUGGGUAAAGAAGCACCGGCUAACUACGUG